rnacentral:pre_miRNA from 1 species
UAGGUACUCCCUCCGUCCCAAAAUUCUUGUCUUAGAUUUGUCUAAAUACGGAUGUAUCAAGUCACGUUUUAGUAUUAGAUACAUCUGUAUCUAGACAAAUCUAAGACAAGAAUUUUGAGACGGAGGGAGUACAUA